rnacentral:rRNA from 1 species
UAAUACAGAGGAGCCAAGCGUUGUCCGGAUUGACUGGGCGUAAAGCGCACGCAGGCGGAUGCGCGCGUGGGGUGUGAAAUCUGGCCGCUUAACGGCCAGGCGCCAUCCCAUACGGCGCGUCUGGAGUGAUGCAGAGGUCGAUGGAAUUGCCGGUGUAGUGGUGAAAUGCGUAGAGAUCGGCAGGAACACCCAGGGGGAAACCAGUCGACUGGGCAUCUACUGACGCUGAGGUGCGAGAGCGUGGGGAGCGAACCGGAUUAGAUACCCGGGUAGUCCACGCCGUAAACGAUGGCCACUCGGCCUUUGGUGGCGGAAUCUCCGUCGCUGGGGGCCUUAGCUAACGCGGGAAGUGGCCCGCCUGGGAACUACGAGCGCAAGCUUA